AGAAUCAACGCUGGCGGCGUGCCUAACACAUGCAAGUCGAACGAGAAAGUGGAGCAAUCCACGAGUAAAGUGGCGCACGGGUGAGUAACACGUGACUAACCUACCCUUGAGUGGGGGAUAACCUAGGGAAACCUGGGCUAAUACCGCAUAAUACCUUCGGGUCAAAGGAGCAAUUCGCUUAAGGAGGGGUCGCGGCCGAUUAGUUAGUUGGCGGGUAAUGGCCCACCAAGACUAUGAUCGGUAUCC
rnacentral:rRNA from 1 species